rnacentral:rRNA from 1 species
AUGGCGUCUGAACCCCGCCGUCCUCGUCCGUCGCGCUGCCGGCGACCAAGCCGCCUGAGUCACAGUGCUGCCUCCCCUGCUCUAUGUGCGAGCACGGAGGAUGAGGACGACAACACCAAGUCCAAGCCGCAUCGCCCGGUUCCUGCCGUUCUGCACCAUCCCCGCCGCCGUGCGAAGGUCCAGCCACCCUCAUCCUCGCCGUACCUGCAAGCAGCUUCGCUGCGCCCUGCAACUCCGCUCGUGCGAGGCGUUGACCAGACGAGCCGCUCGCCCCGCGCCUCCUUUGGCAUCACGCGCGUUGACCCCUGCGGUCCUCGCUUCGAGCCGGAGGUAGCAGUCAACCGCAUCGCCAGCCGCAGUCCCGCUGCCGUGGCCUCCUGCAUCGCUGGUGUCCUUUGCAUCGUAGCAGUUGCAAAGGAGGACGAGCGCCUCGACCCCCUGCAUCGCUAG